AACCACACUAUCAAUGAAUGAAUUCACCCGCGAGAUGAUGUGACUGUUUCAACUAGGACGAGAACAUGGCAUCCUAUUACCAGCCAUCGCAUGAAAUUAAUAGGAUGCCACGUCAUCAUCUAGAUAAAACAACCACGUCAUCUCACGGGUGAAUCCAUUUAUCGAUAGUGUGGUU
rfam:Oryza glumipatula chromosome 4, whole genome shotgun sequence.